ensembl:snRNA U6 U6 spliceosomal RNA
GUACUCGCUUGGGCAGCACAUAUACUAGAACUUGGAACGACACAGAGAAGAUUAGCACCGGCUGCUGUUCAAGGAUGACCCGCAAAUUCAUGAAGCAUUCCAUACUUUA